GGAUCCAGACUUUGAUUAUGGCUCAGGAUGAACGCUAGCUACAGGCUUAACACAUGCAAGUCGAGGGGCAGCAUGGUCUUAGCUUGCUAAGGCCGAUGGCGUCCGGCGCACGGGUGAGUAACACGUAUCCAACCUGCCGUCUACUCUUGGACAGCCUUCUGAAAGGAAGAUUAAUACAAGAUGGCAUCAUGAGUCCGCAUGUUCACAUGAUUAAAGGUAUUCCGGUAGACGAUGGGGAUGCGUUCCAUUAGAUAGUAGGCGGGGUAACGGCCCACCUAGUCUUCGAUGGAUAGGGGUUCUGAGAGGAAGGUCCCCCACAUUGGAACUGAGACACGGUCCAAACUCCUACGGGAGGCAGCAGUGAGGAAUAUUGGUCAAUGGGCGAGAGCCUGAACCAGCCAAGUAGCGUGAAGGAUGACUGCCCUAUGGGUUGUAAACUUCUUUUAUAAAGGAAUAAAGUCGGGUAUGGAUACCCGUUUGCAUGUACUUUAUGAAUAAGGAUCGGCUAACUCCGUGCCAGCAGCCGCGGUAAUACGGAGGAUCCGAGCGUUAUCCGGAUUUAUUGGGUUUAAAGGGAGCGUAGAUGGAUGUUUAAGUCAGUUGUGAAAGUUUGCGGCUCAACCGUAAAAUUGCAGUUGAUACUGGAUAUCUUGAGUGCAGUUGAGGCAGGCGGAAUUCGUGGUGUAGCGGUGAAAUGCUUAGAUAUCACGAAGAACUCCGAUUGCGAAGGCAGCCUGCUAAGCUGCAACUGACAUUGAGGCUCGAAAGUGUGGGUAUCAAACAGGAUUAGAUACCCUGGUAGUCCACACGGUAAACGAUGAAUACUCGCUGUUUGCGAUAUACAGCAAGCGGCCAAGCG
rnacentral:rRNA from 1 species